CCUACGGGAGGCUGCAGUAGGGAAUAUUGCUCAAUGGGGGAAACCCUGAAGCAGCAACGCCGCGUGGAGGACGACGGCUCUACGAGUUGUAAACUGCUUUUGUACCGGGGUAAAAUGCUCUACGAGUAGGGUUUUGAAAGUACGGUACGAAUAAGGAUCGGCUAACUCCGUGCCAGCAGCCGCGGUAAUACGGAGGAUCCGAGCGUUAUCCGGAUUCAUUGGGGUUAAAGGGUGCGUAGGUUGUUUUAUAAGUUAGCGGUGAAAUACCGAUGCUCAACAUCGGGGCUGCCGCUGCUACUGUAGGACUAGAGAUCGGAUGCAGCAGGCGGAAUGUGUAGUGUAGCGGUGAAAUGCAUAGAUAUUACACAGAACACCGAUUGCGAAGGCAGCUUGCUAGGCCGGAUCUGACACUGAUGCACGAAAGCGUGGGGAUCGAACAGGAUUAGAUACCCGGGUAGUC
rnacentral:rRNA from 1 species